rnacentral:rRNA from 1 species
AGGACGAACGCUGGCGGCGUGCUUAACACAUGCAAGUCGAACGGUGAUCCGCUUUCGGGCGGUGAUCAGUGGCGAACGGGUGAGUAACACGUGGGUAACCUGCCCUCCACUCUGGGAUAACUCCGGGAAACCGGGGCUAAUACCGGAUAUGACCUGAGGCGGCAUCGCCUCGGGUGGAAAGUUUUUCGGUGGAGGAUGGACCCGCGGCCUAUCAGCUUGUUGGUGGGGUAAUGGCCUACCAAGGCGAUGACGGGUAGCCGGCCUGAGAGGGGCGACCGGGCCAACGACUGGGACUGAGACACGGCCCAGACUCCUACGGGAGGCAGCAGUGGGAAUAUUGCACAAUGGGCGAAAGCCUGAUGCAGCGACGCCGCGUGAGGGAUGACGGCCUUCGGGUUGUAAACCUCUUUCAGCAGGGACGAAGCGCAAGUGACUGUACCUGCAGAGAAGCACCGGCUAACUACGUGCCAGCAGCCGC